GUCGAGAAUCUUUCACAAUGGGGUCAACCCUGAUGGAGCGACGCCGCGUGGAGGAUAAGGUCUUCGGAUUGUAAACUCCUGUCAUGCGUGAACAAGGUUGCUUGGUUAAUACCUGGGCAAAUUGAUGGUAACGCAAGAGGAAGAGACGGCUAACUCUGUGCCAGCAGCCGCGGUAAUACAGAGGUCUCAAGCGUUGUUCGGAAUCACUGGGCGUAAAGGGUGCGUAGGUGGCGUGGUAAGUCAGAUGUGAAAGCCCGGGGCUCAACCUCGGAACUGCAUCCGAUACUGCCAUGCUAGAGUACUGGAGAGGUGACUAGAAUUCUCGGUGUAGCAGUGAAAUGCGUAGAUAUCGAGAGGAAUACCAAAGGCGUAGGCAGGUCACUGGACAGUUACUGACACUGAGGCACGAAGGCCAGGGGAGCGAACGGGAUUAGAUACCCCGGUAGUCC
rnacentral:rRNA from 1 species